UUUUGGCGCAUGUAGUUUGGGCUCCAUGCUCAUAGUUGCACAGGCAGCAAUGAGAAGCUACGAUUUGUCAGGCCCUGGGGUUCCAGUAAUGAUGUUAGUCACUCUUGUAGAGUUUCCUCCCCCUGAUUUUGUGUUCCAUCCAUUGUUUAAUUUUAAUGGUCUCUUCCUUGUAAAGAAGGUCGUAUUAUCAUCCUUGCUUUUGCGAAUGUAGAAACUAGGAACCUAAGAGUUUAAAAGACCCACCUCCGUUCACAGGGCUUGCUACGUGGUAGACGGGGAAUUGAAGCCACAACUUCUGAUCCUGAAUGAUGUACACAUCUGUCAUGCAGCCACCAAGAUGAAUAGGACCCCAUCUGCACCCUCAGGAAGAUGCUCAUCUCAGAAAGGUGCUCUCAGGAGAUAAAUUUCACUUAUCUUGUCAACAUACCAUGGAGAAGGUCGAGCUCUUUGAAUCACCCCCCUUCCACCACACAUUGUCUCCAACUCUGAAUCACCAAGGUGGACCUCUCCAGAACCCACCAACCUUGAAUCCGUGAAACUUGGAGUCAGAAUUCACAGCUGAGCACAUCAGCAGUUCCGGUUUCUGCCCAGUGCACGGGAUCUCUGCCUGUUGACUGUCCUCCCGCCACACACUGAUAUUCGUCUAGGAAGUAGAAGAUACAUUUUUCUGGAUUAAUGUAUGACAAAGCCAGAGCACAUUGCCAGAUUGUUCUCCGAGACAAGCAAGAUCCCCAAAGUAUCUGGGCACACACCUGGCACAUCUUGUCAAGAAACCAAAUGAGAAAUCCUCCAUCUUACACCAAGGUAGGAGAGGGCCAUGAAACUCAGGCCAGAGCCCCAAGAAUUGGAUUGUCAGAAAGCUCUGAUCCUUGCAAUUCUUGUAAUGUGAUGCAGCAAACUUUGAGGAGAAAGAGGAUACAUGUCUUCAAUUGUAUCACAACAUACCUCCCUGAGUAGGGUAACCUUAAAAGGCAUGCAUAGCAGAGUGGGGACUGGUAAGGGAGUCACCCCACAAUAUAAAGGGGUGACAAAAAACUUGGUAGACAAAAUAGGGAUAUUAAUGCAAUACAUAAAACAUCAAAGUUAAUGCCCCAAGUCAACAAUGAACAAAAUAUCAGAAAUUUAAGUGAAGUCAGGAUGUAAUUCUGUACAUGCAGGACUCACCUCUCUCACCUCACCCUAAUUUACCUUGUGGAUCCUGCCUCUAUUGAAAUCUUUUAAUAUUUUGUUCAUCAUGCAUACUUUUUACAAUAAUUUCUAAUUUUGAAAAUAUUGGAUUGUCCAGGAUAUAUGGUACAGAAUUGAAUUUAGGGUUGACAAAAGGGAACUUCCACCGUUCUCAUCUUUUAAGAAGACACAAAAAGUGCAUUUACUUGACAAAACACGAGAGAAUCCAGUUAUGAUCCAUGGACAUUGGGAUCUGUUUUGGUGUCAUUCCACUAGAAUUGUUCAGCAUCUUAUAGGGAAAAUACACUAAAUGGGUCUAUUUGGAUUUAAUGUCAGGCUAGUUGUUUCUGUAAGUUAUAAACUGUUUGAUUGUAAUAUCUCUUUCAUGAUGAAUUGGCACGUUUAUCUGUCCACUGCCUUGAAAUAACCCACGCUGAGGGAAAGCCAAUGCUAUAAUAAUUGAUACAGAUUGAUACAAAACAAGACAGAAUGUUCAAUACAGAAAAAUCUGUAUCAAUUGAUACAGAUACAGCCAAUGCUGUAAUCUGUAGUGAUUACAGACCUUGUCAUAAGCUCCGACCCCUCUCUGCUAAGAGUCUGCAUGCUCCUCAAAAUACCAACUGAGUCUAGAAUGCAGGUGUUGAUGUAUUUCAGUAGCAGCAAUGCUUAGUACCUCUUCUGCAAAAAUAGAGCUUUUAAAAAUAGCAUAAACCCAUUUUUUUCCUUAGAAUCUCCAAAUAUACAUUCAAAAAUGGCACUGACACUUCCUCCCCUCCUUGCCAAUAGAAAGCUCAUUUACUUAUCAGAGUGUCCCACACAAGAGGCUGAAAGUACGUUGAGAAAUUUCUAAAGAAUCUUAAUUCUGACCUUGUUUCUGAAGAGUCAUAAAAUGUGAAUCCUUGAGGCUGCCUACAUACAUCCUCUUCCCUUCUGGGUCCCCUCCGUCACUUGCUCUGGGCCAACUAUCUCUACCAUUAAUGACCCCUUUGCCUGAACCAAAGAAGACAUCUGAAAAAGCAAGCCAGGCUUCUUCCCAGAUCAACUGUUGACAGCCACAAACCUCUCUUUGAUGUCCCCAGAUGAAGAAGAAAGGAGAAGGCAUAAUUAGUUGGUGUUCUAAUGUGUGUGGUAUUUUUCACUUUCUCUAAUUCUUUUUUGAGCUAAGGUUUGAAUUGUUGAGUCAAAGAACCCUUUGGCAGGAGGAGUGAUUAUAUGUUUCAGAGGUCAGAAGCCUGGCCUUUCGCUGUGAAAGUGCCUGAAGGUGAAAUUGAGCCAAGUUCAAAGGGAAGUCUAAUUGACUGCCCUUGGUCUAACUUCCUUGAGAACUGCUGCCCUUGAAUGAUCAAGCUGCUGCCUCGGGGUGUCCAGGGUGGUCCUCAAGGGAUGGUCUUUAAAAUGUCACAGGAUGAUACCACACUUUAGGUACAAGAUAGCUUUUAGAGUCCUCCUUGAGCCCAGCUCAUUUAUUCAUUCAACAACAAAUAUUCAUUUGGCACCUACUUACUGUGUGCCAGGCACUGUUCUUCCACUGAAGUUAUGCUCAAAUUCUUUAUUUGGGGGACCAAUGCUGCCUAACAUCAGAAGAAAACAUGCAUUCUUUCCACUGUGUUAAUGCCAUCUAAAGAAUUUUUCUUUGCAGGAACAACGACAGAUCAUUUAUAUAAAUCAUGAUUAGGGGCCCCGCCAACCCACAGCAUCCUCCUGUUGAUUUUUACUAAGUACUCCCCCCGCACAAGUGCUAAAAUUCCCUAUUUUCCUUUCUCCUCUCCCCUUGCUUAUUUUUCUGUAUUGAACAUUCUGUCUUGUUUUGUCCCUUCUGAGGCUUGGUCUCUGCCCAUUGCUUCACAGAACAAAUGCCCAGGAGAGGGGAUAAAGUGUUCAUCUCUUCUUCCCUUGGAAAAGUCCUAAAAGCAGACCAAAGAAAACCACCAAGUGCUAAUACCCAUGAUUUUACUUUUAAUUUCAACAUUUUUCUUCCAUCAGGUAGAUAAAUGAUCAGAGAUCUGGACAAAGCAAAUUCGAUUAGGUUUUUCCAACUGAAUAAUAAAGAUGUGGGGGUUAUCAUAAUUGCAAGAUGGGAAGUCCCUUGGGAGUCCAUAGGAUCCAACCCUCCUGUUUCAAGUAUACAUGCAUGCAAACUACCCUAAAUAGGAAGAGGAGAUGGCUCAUGACACUGGCUGUUACUGUUGUUGUUCAUUAAAUAACUCUAAGAAAUUAAUCUAUUGGGACAUAGUGCCUGUGGAUCUUCUGGGUAGACAUUUGCAAGGCCUAUUGGAGUCAAAUUCACCCAUAUGAUAACUAAAUGGACUACUUGGCUACCAAUGUAUGGAAUUGUCACCAUUGGACUCUACCUGUUCUUUGCUCCUGGUCAGCACAUUAAAGCUGUCCUUUACAUGACUGAUGACAUUAUCUUCCUGAAACCACGAGCCAGAUCAGCAUUGCCCUCCUCCUGAUUUCAGAAGCCUUCAGUAGCUUUCCACUGCAAACCCAGUGAAGUUCACAGUCAUUAGCACAGCAUGCAAGGCCUUCCACUAUCUCUCUGUACACCUGGAGCACGUGGCAAAAGGAGAGAUGGGCUUUGGAACUCAUAAGAAUCAGGUCUUAGUUCUGCCAUUUACUACCUAUUCCUCUUUGGGAUUAAGCCUCAGUUUCUUCAUCUGGAUAAAAUGGGCAUUAGAAGCUCCAUCUCCCGGUGCUGUCAUGAGGAUUGAAUGAGACAAGACAUGUACAAUACUGAGAAGAAUGCCUAGCACACAGCAGGUACUCAACAAACACUGUAUGUAAAGUUGCAAAGGCGCUAAGAAUCUCUCUCUGAGUUUCUCUCUGAUUUCCAAAUUUAUUUCUUCUCACAGUCUUCCGCUCAGUCAGAGCUCCAUUGUGACAUUGUCUCUCCACUUCCUGAACACACUCUACUAAAUUCAGCCUUCCAUGUGAGCUCCUAUUUUGUCUCCUCUACUCCGACCUCACUCAUUCUCUCAGUAUCCACUCCUGGAUGAAGUGAUUUAUCUAUUUAUCUAUAUUGUAUCUUAACUUGAUUCCAUGGCACUUCUUGAGAAUCAAAAGUGGCACUUAUAGCCUUUAGCCAAUUUUUAAUCAUCUACUUUUAGCUUGCCCACUACAUUGCAGGUUCCCAGAGGAUAGGGAUUCUAUUUUUGUAACUCUGUGUUCUCCAGAGGCACCAAUAAAGCAGUAUAAGUCAGCUUUUACUAGGUCAUGCUGAAGUAACAAAUAGCCCCCAAGUCUCAGGAGCUUACUACAACGGUUUAUUUAUUUAUUUAUUUAUUUGCGGUACGCGGGCCUCUCACUAUU